rnacentral:rRNA from 1 species
AGGACGAACGCUGGCGGCGUGCUUAACACAUGCAUGUCGAGCGGAAAGGCCCUUCGGGGUACUCGAGCGGCGAACGGGUGAGUAACACGUGAGUAACCUGCCCUAGGCUUUGGGAUAACCCUCGGAAACGGGGGCUAAUACUGGAUAUUCCCGCGGGAUCGCAUGGUUUUGUGGGGAAAGGUUUUCCGGCUUGGGAUGGGCUCGCGGCCUAUCAGCUUGUUGGUGGGGUGAUGGCCUACCAAGGCGACGACGGGUAG